rnacentral:rRNA from 1 species
UACGUAGGAUGCAAGCGUUGUCCGGAUUUAUUGGGCGUAAAGAGAACGUAGGUGGUCCUUUAAGUUCGAUCUUAAAGACCGGGGCUCAACCUCGGGAAUGGAUUGAAAACUGGGGGACUAGAGGAUGUUAGAGGACGGUGGAAUUCCCAGUGUAGCGAUGAAAUGCGUAGAUAUUGGGAGGAACACCAGUGGCGAAAGCGGCCGUCUGGGACAUUCCUGACACUGAGGUUCGAAAGCUCGGGGAGCAAACAGG